UAAAGGGCUGUUCGAAAAGGAGACCGCCACUUGGAUAGCAAUGUCUGGUCGAGGCAAGGGUGGGAAGGGCCUGGGCAAGGGGGGCGCCAAGCGCCAUCGCAAGGUUCUGCGCGACAACAUCCAGGGGAUCACCAAGCCCGCCAUCCGGCGGCUGGCCCGGCGCGGCGGCGUCAAGCGCAUCUCCGGGCUCAUCUACGAGGAGACCCGCGGGGUGCUUAAGGUGUUCCUGGAGAACGUGAUCCGGGACGCUGUCACCUACACGGAGCACGCCAAGCGCAAGACCGUCACGGCCAUGGACGUGGUCUACGCGCUCAAGCGCCAGGGCCGCACCCUCUAUGGCUUCGGGGGCUGAGCACCCACAGCCCACCGUAUUUCCAAACUCAAAGGCCCUUUUCAGGGCCGCCCACAAAAUCACUUUAAAGGGCUGUUGUGCUUAGUAGAAAUAAGUUUGGGGUAGUGAAAGGUUAGUAAGUUUGAAGUACGUUACCAUUUACGCAGCGAUGUAAUCCAGAUCACGGGAUAUUUACACCACAGCAUACUUAGAGUUUUGCGGAAAACCCAUUUUUUAAAAAAGCGGUCAGUUACACGGUGGCAAUGAAAUGGUUUCAGGACAGAAAUGAGUAUUUUAUGCAAUCGGGAGCAUCCCGACUUAGGUCGUUUUUGGGUCGUUUGGAUGAGGGCAGAGCCGGCAGCGUCCAGGGCGCAAAGCUCUCGGGUCACACCAGCUUCUGUGUAAAAGAAUGUCCUUUGGGGACAAGCUCUGAUUGGAUGAUACUCGCUGUACUGCAGGAAAAAAAUGGGGAGGGUGGGAUUUCAGCACCAUUUUCCUGUUGGCUUAAAGGGUGUAAUAUCUGUCCCCGGAACUGGCAGAAAAAGCUUCGUUGGUUUGCUUUGUUUUUAACCCGCUGUAUGCCAGGCGCUAAAGUGGCGCGAGGAACAAAGGCGCCCAGGAUCGCGGGGGCCAGUUCUCGACGGAUUCGAGCAGUGCCAGGGACCUGCCGGCUUCCAGGCGGGGGUCUGAGGUCGGUGCACUGCUGGGCGCGGCAGUCGGACAAAGGACUCACGGCCUUGCCAGCAUGUCUUAAACGCCGUGGAAAAGGCCCCGAAUUUAAGGCCUGCGCUAGAAGGAACCGCAGCUCUCCCUCCAGGUGCUCACGCUCGCACGCGACCUCACAAGCUCACACCCGAGUGAAGACACUGACUGUGGUAGCAGAGAAGGAGUGACAGCUACUCCAGACGGUCGGCAGGUGGGACAGCAGGGCGUUGAUCUCUCCUUGUUCCUUCCUUACUGGUUCUUCUUCCAAGGGCUUCCCGAUCUGCUUUCUGGCUAACAUGUUAUCAGAUUUGGGAAUUCGUUGAGUUGAUAGAGUAAGCAUGUAGAAUGGUGCCUUGCACACGCUUUGUGCUACCCCAGUGUUAGCAACUGUUGUGAUAGUGUUUUCAUUAGUGAAAAUAUAAAAAUCACAUUUACUGCCACCCCCGAUCUGCCUUUCCCUGCUGUACUUUGUACCUCCCCAGAGUGUUUAUUCCUUUCUCGUGUUCUAUGUAAUUACGUGUGGUAACUACUAUUUGUUGUCUGUUUUCACCAGCAGAGAUGUAAGCUCCACGAUGGCGGCGAGUCGCCCCUUUCCGAAGGGACAGUCACUGAAGGUGGAGGAACAGAGCCGGACGAUGGGCCUUCAGGGCUGGGAGAGAAAAGGAAAACUUCCCCUCCUUAUACCACCCCAAUACUCUGUCCUCAUUCUCUCUGUGCUGGCCGUUGUCACUGGCUGAUGAAAAGCCAUUGUGGGGCCUCUAGAAGGGACAGAAGGGCAAGAGGAAGUGGGGCGGGGGUGGAAGAGAGGGCACACGGAAAGGGAACCAGAUCUUAGGAUUCCGGAGAGCUUGCUUUCCCUGCAUUCACUGGCUCUUUCUCUGCCGGCCCCGCCUGUGUUUCCCUCUUUCCCUGGCAGCUCAGUGCUGCGAUGACUGAGUCCUGGUCAAAACACUGUGGACAGGAUCAUGUGUGCCCCUUCCAGGCCGGCCCACGAAACCCUCGUUUCUCCCUGCUGGCCGGAUGCCGAGGCUCCCGCAAGAGCUCUGAGACCCGAGGAUAUCCGAGGCACAAGCUGGAAGGAACCAUCCCUGAAAGACAUGGAGCCACGUGCUACUGCCUCGUUGUGACCGGACAUUAAAUGACAUUGUGUAACAGACUGAGAGCCUUCUGUCGUGGCUAGCCACUAAGUUUGGGGGAUCUGUUCCAUAGAACAAAGUAUCAGAGACCUUACUUUGACCUGAGGCUUGUCUAGUGACGCGGACUCCACAUUGCCCUUCACAGUAGCCCUUGAUCCUAGAUCCGGUCUCCUAGUCCAUGAUCAGCAAUGUUCUCCCCCAGCAAAUGCCAGACACCAGAGCUCCCACCCCACACACUGGCUCCUUCAAGCCCUGUGCGCACUGGGGCAGCCUGCCCAGAAUUUCAUUCCUGGGUUCAUCAUCGUGGCCCCUCCUCAUUGCCCUCACUGCUUUAAUCCUGCUUUCUUCUGUUUUUCGGUUUUUUCUCCACGACACUUGCCUUCCAACAGACCAGAGAUUUUCAUUAUCCAUUAUGUUUUCCAGUCUUACCCUCCCAGAGUCCUAGCUCCCUGAGGGAAGGGAUUUUGUGAUUCUGCCCACAUGAACUUGGCACACAGUAGGCAUUCAAAACUGUUAUUGAAUGAAUUGAUUCAUUCAAUCAUUUAUGUAUACUGACUAUGUGCCGGGCCCAGUAACAGCCCCUGGGGAUACCCUGUGACCAAAUCAGAGCUCAGAGCCUAUUGGACAUGACAACUAGAUGAGUAGUAACAAUUAAUUGCAAACGGAGCAAGGAGCAUGCUGAACAUUUGGCGGGAAAAAAAAAAAAAAAAAAAAAAAAAAAAAAAAAAAAAAAAAAAAAAAAAAAAAAAAAAAAAAAAAAAAAAAAAAAAAAAAUUGAAAGAAAGAGAGAAAGAGAAAGAACUCCAGGGACUUAAAAAUGAAUAUAAGAAAGGAAAUGUAACAGUAGUUCACCAUAUGGCUCAGCUGGAAAUAGGGUUCUCUAACCUCAUAGCAAU
rnacentral:lncRNA from 1 species